CUCGUAGGCGGUUGAGUAAGUCGGGUGUGAGAACUCUGGGCUUAACCCAGAGCCGCCACCCGAUACUGCUCUGACUUGAGUUCGGUAGGGGAGCAGGGAAUUCCUAGUGUAGCGGUGAAAUGCGCAGAUAUUAGGAGGAACACCGGUGGCGAAGGCGCUGCUCUGGGCCGAUACUGACGCUGAGGAGCGAAAGCGUGGGUAGCAAACA
rnacentral:rRNA from 1 species